GCAUCAAUGGGGUAGUGGUAACCUUGGUCGUUGCCAUCGACCAGCCGCGAGUUCAAUUCUCGCUUGAUGCA